UCCAUGGGCUUAAACAAGUCAUCAUGGAGCUGGGCCUUUUAAGCACGAUGGUAUUGCUCGACCCGAUACAACCCGGUCUGACCCGACAUGUUCAAAGAUAUUCGCUCCCAAAAAUUCAGUGUCCGAUUCGCAAGAAGAUAUUAAUUAGUGUAGAAAUCCGGGGUUUGUAAAUUAUAGAAAAAGAAAGAAAAAAAAAUGGAAGAAUUAAUUGGUCGGAGAACAGUAGUGUCGUUAGUUUGUGUUUGUCUUUCUCACUUAUCAAUCUACGUUCUUUGUUCCUUCUUUCCAUUCUCCAACGUCAUCAUACUCCUUAUCCUAUCAGUGAUGGUAUUGGUAGGGAUGGCGGUAAUAGGAAGAAGAUGCAAGAGGUUGUUUGGACUACGUGGCUCUGCUCCCGCUUUCGUCUUUUCGAAUUUAUUGUUCAUGUGGUGUGUAUAUAUACUUGUUAUUCAACAAGCCGUCUCAUUGUUAUUGAACAUAAUCUUUCAUACAGAGCUUAUUAUGCUUCAAAUUGGCCUAUAUAGGAUCCUAUCAGGUGAUCCUGGUUUCGUUAAUUAUGGACCUCUCUCCAAUGUUGAAACUUCUCUAGAGGGAUCUGAGCUCCCAACUUCUGACAUCAUUGAGGGGUACCCAUCUGAAGAGAGUUCCCUUUUACUCCAAAGAGUAAGAUAUUGUAAGCACUGUGACGCGCAUGUUAAGGGAUUUGACCACCACUGUCCAGCUUUUGGUAAUUGUAUUGGUCAAAACAAUCACCGACUCUUUAUAAUUCUCCUAGUUGGAUUUAUAAUAGCCGAGGCUUGUUACAUUAUGGGUGCAUCUCAGACCGUGACAACAUCCCGAGCACUGAAUAGCGGAGGAGGGCAGGUUGGUUGGACUGAAACCUUAGCUACCAGCACCUUGGUAUUCUCCCUUCUGCAAAUUCUAUGGCAGACGGUCUUUUUGGCAUGGCACACAUAUUGUGUGUGUUUCAAUAUCAGAACAGAUGAAUUCAUACACUGGAAGAAAUAUCCAGAGUUCCAACACAUCAUAAAUUCACAACCAGGGGAGACAGUAACAAGAAGAAGGUUUAAAAAUCCCUAUGACAAGGGAAUUUGGCAGAAUUUAAAGGAGUUCAUUGAAGCCAAAGGAUAACACCGUAGACGAAUUAAAGUAUACAGAAUUAGAGACUUAGAAGUCGUUACUCAAGGUUUUCGUUGUAUAUAAAACGUCACGAGGCACAGUCACAGUCAGCACACCAUUCUCCAUCUUCGCUUUCACCUUAUCAACCUUAGCAUUAUCCGGCAACCGAAACUGCCUUACAAACUUGCCGGAGCUCCUCUCAACACGGUGCCACUUGUCGUUUUUAUCCUCUUUCUCCCUGCUCCUCUCUCCACUGAUUUGUAAAAUGUUACCAUCUUGUAACUCCACCUUGACUUCUUCUUUCUUUAACCCUGGAAGAUCAGCCUUGAAUACAUGAGCUUCUGGGGUCUCCUUCCAGUCAAUCUGUGCGUUCACGAAAGCCGAAGUUUCACGUGCUCCAGACGGAAUGUUGGAAAUGGAAGUGCUGAAAAUGGUAUCAAGGGGAUCCCAUACGUCUAAUGAAAAAGGAUCAAAGACAUUGGCUCGACGACUACCGAAGAAGCUUGGAAUGAUAGACAUUUUUUUUAAAAAAAAAAGCUUAAUGACUGUAGAAAUAGCUUGAAUUGAAUUAGAUUUGGUGGUGAGAAUGUAGGAUGAUCAUGUUAUUUGAAUAUAUAGGUGAGGGAAGAUGGUUCUGGGGUUUUGAAGAAACAAUAUAAAGUAGUGUUGUCUUAGUAGAUGGCGUUAUUUCAUUGGAGGAUUGUGGCACUUUUGUGGGCCAGUGUGUUGAAGAUAUAAAUAUAUGCUUUCUAUUUCUAUCCUACACUAGAAUCCUCUGUAACUUUUACUUUAGUUACUAUGUGAUGAACGAUGGAGUAACUUCUAGCGUUUUAUC